CAGAUUUGGUUGACUUUUAUGAGAUGUUUCAACUACCCAGUCAGGGAUAAUACAACAAAGCUUGCAAUUGUUUGGUUCACCCUGUCCUUUGGGUACUAUGGAUUAUCUGUUUGGUUCCCUGAUGUCAUUAAACAUCUGCAGUCCGAUGAAUAUGCAUUGCUAACCAGAAAUGUGGAGAGAGAUAAAUAUGCAAAUUUCAGUAUUAACUUUACAAUGGAAAAUCAGAUUCACACUGGAAUGGAAUACGACAAUGGCAGGUCUAGAAACUUGAAAUAAUUUAAUUUGCUACCUAUUCACAAAAACGUAUUUCUUCUUAGCCUUCCCUGAACUGAAACAGGCAUAGUUUUUUGUUUGUUUUAGUUUGUACAUUUAGUCAUUUUCAUGGUGAAUUUCAAUACUUCCAAAUAGGCUUUAAAUAAAAGGUACAAGUGUA
rnacentral:sRNA from 1 species